UACGGGGGGGGCAAGCGUUGUUCGGAAUUACUGGGCGUAAAGGGUCUGUAGGUGGCCAACUAAGUCAGACGUGAAAUCCCUCAGCUUAACUGGGGAACUGCGUCUGAUACUGGUUGGCUUGAGUGCAGGAGAGGAAUGCGGAAUUCCAGGUGUAGCGGUGAAAUGCGUAGAUAUCGAGAGGAACACCUGCGGCGAAGGCGGGUUGCUGGGCCGACACUGACGCUGAUGCGCGAAAGCCAGGGGAGCGAACGGG
rnacentral:rRNA from 1 species